CAACGCCCCCCGUUUCCAACCCUAACCUGGCCACGGCAUGGCCAUGGCGGAACCGCCACCACCGCCCCUCCCACAUCUAUUCCCGCAGGCCGGAGAUCCUCCACUCGUGGUUGUCUCUCCAUUCGUCGCCCCUGCCGCCCCCAUCCCUCCAGCUGCUGCUUCAGCCACCACCGACCCUCCAAUUGCUGCUCCUGUCGCCGCCGGCCUGCAACUGGGAUCCUACCGUCGCCGGCCCCACAGCUACGGAUCUCGCCGUCGACGCCCCUACAGGUGCUUCUCCAGGCGUCGGCCCUGCAGGUGCUACUCCAGCCACCGCCGCCCCUGCACUGUCUACUGUUGCCUCCUCCCCUCCAGCCAGCGCCCCUACAGCCGAUGGACCUCCAGUUCCAGCCGCCUCCCUCACAAUCGCUGGACCAACAGUUCCAGGUGCCUCCCUCACAGCUAAUGAGGAUGUUGCUUCUUCAACAUCGCCUCGUUCCAGGUGCAAUAAGGUAGUUCAUUUUCUCAUGUGUUCGUGAUAUAUUCUGUCGUGAUAUUUAGUUGCACACUGCCCCUCUUUAGAAAAAUUGGUUGCUGAUUGUCAUGGUUGCGUCCGCAGGAUGGACCAGGCAUCAACAUGUGUGCUAGAAGUUAGGAUAUGUAGCAGUCGUCGUAACUUCAACGGAGGUUUUUCCUUCAGUUGGAGCAUUGAUUUGCAUGCUAUAACUACUAUGAAGGGGUUUCUAGAUGCUAUUUUUGCACAGUACUCUUGGGUUGUGUGGUCUGAUGAUGAAACUAUCAUUGUAGAAUAAUUUGAUACUAUUAGUGAAAAAUACAAACCUAUUGGAAAUGAUAAGCUUCAUCAAGCUAUCGGUUGUCCACCUGGACUUGCAAUCUGUUCGGAUGCAGGAAAAGGGGUUGAAAGUGCAAUUGAAGAGGUGUAUAAGUAUGCUAAAGAUAGGGAAUGCAUGCACCACUUGGUUGUCAACUUUAAGAAAAAAAAUUCAUGGUAAAGUAUUUGAUGACCAUAUGUGGCCAGCAGCUUAUUCAUGGACUCUAGAAGCUUUCAGAGCCCACAUGGCAGCCAUAGAAGAGAAAAAACCUAAAGCAAUAGUGUACUUGACAAGAUACCAUAGUAGGCUUUGGUCUAGGAGAAAAUUUUCCACUUCCUCAAAGGUAGAUUAUGUGACAAACAAUUUGGCCGAGUGCUUCAACAAUUGGAUCAACAAGCACAAGGGCAUGAUGUUGUUUCAGUUGGUGGACAAAAUCAUAAGGAAGAUACUAGUCAAGAUGGAGAAGAGGAGGAUUGCCAAAAAAUUGGAAGGCCACUAUGUACUACCUAGUGUCAUGAAGGAGUUGAAUGCAAAGAGUAGAGGGUUGGACAUAGAGUAUGAGAGAUUAACCACAUGAAUGCAGAGGUGAGUGAGGGUGGUGAAGAUGGCAAGCGACAUGUUGUGGAUCUGGACAUGAGGACAUGCACAUGUAGAGAAUUCCAAGUAUCAGGGAAGCCUUGCAAGCAUGCCAUUUCCUUCAUCACCAGAAUUAGGGGGGUCACUAUAGAAGACUUUGUUGAUGAUUACUAUAGUGUUGCCAAGUUCAUAGCAGCAUAUACUCCCGUACUGUCGGGGCUUACUUAUGCAUCACAAUGGCCAAAGAAAACCCAUGAAUUCUUUUUACACCCUCCAAUCCUUCGAAGGGCUCCGAGGACGCCAAAAGUAGAGAGGCACAAGAGUGGUGCUGAGCAAAGCAAGAGCAAGAGAAGAAAAGGACAACAUCAAUGCCUAAUUUGCAAAGACUAUGGUCAUAGAUGGCAAGGUUGCAAAAAUGUUGAUCCAGAUGCAAAAGAAGCGCAUACUGAUGUCGCAAAAGAGAGAAGGGAAAAAGAAAUAAAUCCGAAGUUGCAGCAAGGAGUGGUGACACUAAUAUUCAAGCAACCAAAGGCAACCAACGCUGCCCCUUCCAUGUUCAACUAACAACCCAAGUGAAGUAGAUGUGGUGAAGUCAACAUCAUCUAAAUCUGUGAGGUCAAAAAUCGGUUCGAACCAAAUUGAGAGCACCUCAUUGGAAAUUUCGUCAACACCAAAGCAACACAAGGGCAAGUUGAAGGCAAAGGUGAUUCUAGCUGCAGCAAACAACCCUGCAAUGGCCACUCGAACCAAGAAAAGGCAACCAAACAACUCUGCUAUGGCCACUCGUAGCAAGGAAAAACUGAAAGUGUGAACUUGUUUCUUUCUAUUACAUUUGUGGACUUGUUUUCUUGCAUUGUACAUUGCUCUCUUUUGUGCACUUCAAUUUCUGUACUGGACAUUGGUCUCUUUCGUGCACUUCAAUUUAUUGUACUGGACUAUG